AUGAUGCAAAUGUGUGUCGAUGUAGUAUUUAUGUGCAGCCGAGCUGAGAGGAGCAGUCGAUUCUCAUCAACGCUCACCAUGAAGAUCCCUCUCUCCUUAUUCGUGCUCCUAAUCAGCCUGUGUGUCCACUGUGUGAAUGGCCAGAGUUUGGAGUCUAUUCCUAGUCAUGCAGUACUGAGUAAUCCUGGUGGAACUGUCAGCCUCUCUUGUAAGGCUAUAGGAUAUAAUUUUGGAGAUUAUGGCAUGAGCUGGAUACGACAGCCUCGUGGAAAGCCCUUACAGUGGAUUGGGCACAUCAAUACUGCAAGUGGAGAAACAUUCUACAGUAAAAGUCUUGAAGGAAGAAUUGAAAGAACAAAAGAUAACAGUAAAGGCAUUUCAUACUUCAAGUUGUCUGGCCUGACUGUAGAAGACACAGCUGUGUAUCACUGUGCCCGAAAACACAGUGACACAAACAGAUGACAAGGAUGUACAAAAAGUUCAGUUCCUGAAUUUGAUAUACGUCUGUCUUCCUGAAUACAGUGGGCAGACAAUGUCAAAAUAUAAUCUCGCAAUAUUAUAGUGUAAAGGCAGGGAA